AAAAAAGAACAAAAUUUGCAGAUGCUCAACUUGAUGUUGGAACCUAUAACUUAGUCUCCAAAUUCUUAAGAGCGAGGAGAGAGGACUAAAUCUGCUUCAGUACAGAAAGACAUUUUGGGGAGUAGUUAGGUUGUGAAUUCGUGAUAAAAGGAUGAAGGAGGAGUGUGAGGAGGAGUGGGUAAAACAAGGCCAGCCUAGACAAAAGGAAGGCGAAUGUCUGAACACACCAGCUAAGCUCCACAAGAUAGUGUGAAAAAUCCCCGAUGUUUGUGCAUUUAAAAUGAAUAAUUUUAUCACGUAAAGGUUCAGUUUCAAGUGCAAAAGGAGCCGUAUGUAAACACACAGAAGAGUUUAGAAAGUGUGGGGCGGGUGGAGAAAAUGGCUGAUUUCAAGUCUAAUUUGAACUGUGGUCAGAACUGUCCGGGUGAGCAGAUGCUGAUGGCUGUUACUGCUCUGGGAAUCAUGUCUGCCUUCCCUGCUGGAAGAAGGAGCAGGUCUCUGGGGUGCAGAAACCAUAGGUUAAUUCUAAACAGCUUUUAUGGAAACCCACAGCCAAAGCACCUUUGUUGUCUUGUCCUGACAGUUUGACCAGUGGCCCCCAUUAAAGCAGUACAUACAGGUGGGGAAUAGCAUCGUGAAUGCUGGCUAGAACAGCUGGCUGUGCUGGGCAAUGGGAUAGAGGUGCAAAGGAAAGGCACAGAAAGAACACUAGGGGAUGUAGGACACUAGCGGUUACUUGGAGAUAUGAAGGCAGAUAGGAAGUAGUUCUGUUCUUGACUGAGUAAAAAGGAUGGGUGUCCCAGCAUCCAUAUUGAAUGGCUCACAUAAUCCCAGCUCCACGGACUUCAACAAAUACUUUCUAACAUAAACAUGGACACAUAACUGAAAAGAAAUCUUGAAAUAUACAAAACAGGGAAAGAAGAAAAUAAUUAAGAAGAAAUGCAGUAAUAACCAAAAGCUGGUAUGAUUUCUACUCAUGAACAUGAUGUUGUGACUGGUGUAUGGAAAAAACCUAUUAAAAGUUCAACAGAAAUAUAAUCAAAUACAAUGUGUAACUUAGAGAAAAGUUUAUGAACAAUGCUGUCAUUUCUUACUAUGCAGACGGAAUAAAUAAGGCACUUAAUGAAAUAGUGAGAAUGUU
rnacentral:lncRNA from 1 species